UGGAGAAGGGGAGCACGUGCAAAGUUAGAGAGAGAGAGAGAGAGAGAGAGAGAGAGAGAGAGAGAGAGUAACCACGGUGGGUUCCUUUGCACGUGCCCUGCUUCUCCAAC
rfam:Ananas comosus cultivar MD2 ACMD2_Scaffold_7187, whole genome shotgun sequence.